CUAAAAACAAAGAGAAAAGACAUUAAAUUGUACUAAAUGAAAUAUAUAUAGAUUUGGAUCACUACUAAUGUGUAAGUUAUUUUGUAUGUUGCUAUAUAUACUGUGGCAGCAUAUAUAUAUAGGUAAAACACAAAGCAACUUAGUUGGGGGGAUAAUCAACUCCUUGUAAUCGAUCUGUUUGUGAUCUCCUCUUGCAUCAAUUACCUAUUAAUGAUAGAGGAUCAAUCGACAAGUGGCCAGGAAAGAGAUCGAAGAGCUAGAUGUUGAAUGAAUCGUUCGUGGCAACAUGGAUCUCAGAGUUAGUAUUCGCAAGAAGGUCAGAUGGUCAAACGACUUUGUUUGGACAUGGCGGCUGGUCAGAAGACUAAAAUAAAUAAUCAUGCUGACAUUACUACCAAAUGACUUUUUUUUUUCUCAAAACAUUGAUCACAAUAUUUUAUUUCAUCAGCUGAUCUGGUAUACAUCAAUAUAUGUUGCUAUAAAAGUUA